GGCAGUCAGUGCGGAGCGCUCGGCGGGGGUGAGACACGGAGACACGGAGGGACUGAGACACGGAGGCACGCCAGGAGUGCAGGACGCCACUCAUGGCGGGAGCCAAGGGACUACUGCUGGUGCUCUGCGCGGCUGGCUCCGUGACGGGGACUCUCCAGCCCGGGGGCCAACAGCAGCUCGGAGCGGGAAGCCUCAACGGCGUGAACAUUGGCGGAGGAACGUUCACCAAGCCCGGCGAGCCACUACGACCGUUCCCGCCUCAGGGACGUCCAGCACCGCCGCCCGGCCGGCUACCGCAGCUGUACUUCCCGCCACCGACACCUGGCAGCGCACAGAUCGCAAUCGAGCCUGCCGAUGAGUUUACGCAGCUGCCUUCUGGUCCUCCGAUCGGCAUUGGAGACCCGCUGCCUAACUUCAUUCAGCCGGAAUUCGGAGGGUGGAUUCCGAUGACUUCGUCGCUAGAAACUGAGCCAGCCGCGCAGACCGGAGGACAGAACUUUGGGUUCUCAUCUGCAUCGCUCAGUCAGCAACCAACUGACUUCGGGAUCAGCCAGGGACCGUCUCCAUCGGGCCUGCAGCCGCAGGCCGGUAACGGAGACAACGGCUCCUCGUUUGCUUCAGGAUCAUCGUCGAGUUCGACUCAAGAAGAGCUUCUAACGAACGCAUGGUCGCAGGCACCAACAGGACAAUCUGCAGGUGGAAAUAGCGGAUUGCCAUCGUCUUACGUUCCGCCGACGCAAGGAAUUAAUGGCGCUAUUUCCCAGGGUGCCAGUGUUCCUACCCUUUUGAAGCCACUGGACAUACCACAGCCCCAAGAGCCAUUCCAACAAUUUCCAUCACAGUCCUUCAGUGGAAACCCCGAUGCUUCAUCCUCGUUUGCAUCUUCAAACGAAGGAGGAAACUCAUUUCCUGCACAGACCAUCCCUGCUGGUUUGAAUCCAUCUGGUUAUCCCCAAUCGGGAGGCAUUCCGUCUCAGUUCCAGUCUCCUACCGAUGGUGAUAGUAACGUCGGUUCUUCCUUUUCCUCCACCGUGCAGUCUCAAUCUGGAAAUGAAGCAGGACUUUCUGGAGGAAGUGUAACAGACGGAGGAUUCUCCCAAUCCCCUCAGUCGGGAAGCACAGGUGUCAACUUGCCAUCUUCGUACGUGCCUCCCUUUUCCGAAGCGGCCGGCUCUUUUUCUCAAGGAAAUCAAGUUCCGACAGAGCUGAAACCCCUUGGACUGCCUCAGACUGGGGGAUUCGCUCAAAGCUCAUUCCAAACGGGGAACGGAAACAAUCAGCCAUUCACAUCAGGUGGAGACAACUCAUUGGUGCAGGGUGCGGUGCCUACACUACUGAAGCCGCUAGGCCUCCCGCAGCCAGAGGACGUAUCUGAAUUCACUUCGCAAACUAGUGGUGGAGGAAGUAGUGGCGGCCUACCUUCCUCUUAUGUGCCUCCUUCAACAGGCUUUGUCGGCACGCUCACUCAGGGCGAAGGACCUGUACCUACCAGCCUUAAGCCAAUUAACCUGCCGCCGACUGGAGGGUUUUCACAGCCUUCGAUAACCCCGUCAGAAAGCGAAAACACAGACUCUUCAUUCUCCUCAAAUAUAGCGACAGCAUCAAGUUUUGGAGGAUCAUCUUCUCAAGGAGGUUUUGUUUCAACCGAGCUCAAGCCUAUCAACUUGCCACAACCAGGACAACCACCAAGCUCUUUUUCCUCUCAGGCAACUGGCAGCAAUACCGCCAUCACCUCUUCGUCUACAUUUGGUAGUUCGUCAUUCCAAAGCAGUAAUCCUUCUUUCCAAGCUCAGCAGUCGCCAAUACCCACUAUCCUAAAACCACUGAACCUCCCUCAAACAGAACCAGUUCCUACUUCUCUCAAGCCCUUGGGACUGCCUGAAACUGAAGAUCAAACCGUUCCGACCCUCCUUAAACCAUUGGGUCUUCCACCGACUGGAAAACCAUCAUCGCAGCAGACAUUCCAAGAAAACACUGACCCUCUCGCUCCAUCAUAUGUGCCUCCUACGUCAGAGGGCGAAGAUUCGUUCUCUCAAGGGGGCUCGAUUCCAGACGAACUGAAGCCUCUUGGUUUGCUUCAAACAUCAGAACUCUUUCAGGCAUCUCAGUCUCUUGCUGGGAACAGUGUAGACGCUGAGCCCGUCCCGACUCUUCUGAAGCCACUAGGCCUGCCGCAACCAGAAGAACCAUUUUUGUCUCAGUUGGAAACGCAGGCAGGUGGAAGCACGUUCGGUGAAUCCCCUUCUCAGCAACAAGCGUCGGCGGGAGGCGGAUCUUUCAUUCAAUCUGGCAUAGUACCCACCCAGCUGAAGCCUCUGGGACUACCACAGCCUGAUGGAUUUGUAUCCACGUCUUCUGUUGAAACAGAGGGUGACAACUAUGGAUAUUCGCCAUCAAGUUCGACGUCCUCAUUGGGGCAGAGUGAGCCUCCUCAGAGUGGAGCGUCUAUUCCGAACCUCAUCUCCGGAAACUUCCAGUCACAGGUCACUGGGUCUCAACUUGGAUCUCAAUCUGCAUCAGGAGGUGGCACCUCGUCAGCGUCCUCCUUCGGGUCAUUUGGAGGGGGCGAGGGCGUCUUCUCACAAGGAAGCGCCACUGGGGGAUCUGAGCCAGUUGUCAACCAGCAAGGAUCAAAUGGAGGAUUUGCAUCUUAUCCUCAGCCAUCUGAAGGGUCGCCAUCAGAGACUGGUAACUCGUUUAUCGAUGAAACGGACUCAAGCCCGCAGACUAUUCCGACCUUGCUAAAACCUCUGGACCUGCCAAUCCCCGAUGGAUAUUCACCUGGAUCCUCGGCAGAGAUCGCAAGUGGCGGAAGCAGCUCUUCAUACGGUCCAGUUGUACCGGAGGGUGGAUCUUCACCCGUGACUUCGUCUGCUGGUGGAUCAUCAUCGCAGUUCUCGCAACAAACAAGUACUGGUGCCACGUCUCCAACUGAUAACUACCAGCCUUCAUCGGGGAGUGAAGAAGGCUCCUCUGCCCAACAGUUUGGCGGGAUCUCAACCCAAACCUCAACCGGCUCUGUCAUCUCGGGUGCCGUGCCAACGCUUUUGAAACCGCUGGGUCUACCUCCGCAAGAAACUGUUGAGUCUCAGCAGCAGUUCGGACAAACAGCCUUCCAGCCCGCUGAAGCAGUCGGAACACAGCAGCAGAGUUCCGCUCCCACGGACGGUUAUGUAGAAACGCAGCCUCCGCUGACCUCCGAAACUUUCGUGGACAGUGGCGCAGCCUCUUCGGAGGGUGCCGUGCAAAGUGGUUCGUUGGAAGAGUACGGCUCGCCAAACAGUCAGUCCUUGUUGGAGUCUGAGGGGAAUACUGGCGAGGUCGGAUCAUCAGGAUUCGCCACCCUUCCAACAGGUCCAGUACCAGGCAAUGGUAAUAGCCAGUCACCGCCUCAAAUCGGUGAGCCAGUAUACCAGCCAGAAAUCGCUCUGGGCGUUGCUGCCAGCGGUGACGCCGGUUCUUCUGUGCCGUUCCCUCGGCCACCAGCUCAGAGCGAACCGCUUGGUCCUCCGCAGCCAGCAAUCACCAGUCAAACAUCGAGCAGCGGAAGUUCAUUCGGGCCUCCAGAGUCGCCACCCAGUCUCGUUAUUGAUGAACAGUUCCUGACAGGUCCCUCUGGAGGACCGCUCACCGUUGCAGCCCCAGGCAUACCCGUUGCAGCCGGCGGAGGAGAUAACAUUAGCGGCUUUGGAGUCAGCAGCACUAGUGGGAACGAAAUCAGCAAUGUCAGUGGCGACAUCGGCAGCGGUGGAGACACCAUCAACGGUGAAGGAGGCGACGAGGGCGAAAUCGAUGUUGGAACUGGUAGCAGUGGGUUCAGUGGUAGCAGCGGUUUCAGCGGAAGCGGGAGCAGCGGUGGAUUUGGCGGCAGCGGAAGCAGCAGUGGAUUUGGCGGGAACGAGGGCAACAGCGGUUUCAGCGGCAGUGGCAGCAGCAGUGGCUUUAGCGGCAGCGGAGGCAGCGGCGGGUCCGGUGGCAGCGAAAGCAGCAGCGGCAACACUGGGACCAGUAUCAGCAGUAGUAAUUCCAUCAGCAGCGGUGGUGUGAGCAGCACCGCUGGCGUUACUGGUAGCGCUGCAGCUGGUGGCGCCAUCAGCAGUAGCCUCAGUAACACAGAGGGCGGCACCGUGAGCGGUGGAUUUGGAAGCGCCGGCAGUAUCGGGAUCAGUAGCGGCCCUGCCAGCAUCAGCAGCAUCUCCAGCACUGGAGGCAGCAGCAUCUCCAGCACCGGAGGCAGCAGCAUUUCCAAUACUGGGGGCAGCAGCAUCUCCAACACUGGGGACAGCAGUAUCGCCAGCACCGGCAGCAGCUCAGGCGGCAGCGACGGCCCGGUGGAGAUCCUCUCGCAGACGUUCGAGAUCGACGAGAACGGCAACUACGAGUACAGCUACGAGCAGUCGAACGGCCAGGCGGCGCAGGAGUCUGGCCAGUUCACCGCCGGUGCCGAGCCGGAGACAGGUACCCUGGCCAGCACCGGAUCGUACCGGUACCGCGGACCCGACGGCAGAGAGUACAUCGUGGAGUACACGGCCGACGAGCGAGGGUUUCUGCCUACCGGGGACCACCUGCCUAAGCCGCCGGAACAGAUCCCUGCCUAUGCGGAACUACGGCGGCGAUAUCCCGCGCUCUUCUGGGCGGAGAAGCUAGGGAUCCGAGAACCAGAGGAAUGAUAGGGAAGAUAUCUAGUAAACGGGUGGAAAGGGGGCUUACUGGGACCGAGGAGCGAGGUCGCCAAGUCGGGUAGGCAACGGAUAUUUGCUUGUGAUAAUGGAUUGAUCUGUGGCCUUCGUUCCCAAUGCGUGUUAUUCUCGGGAACGUUUCUUGUGCGUUGUUGUUGUCGUUUGGUACAAGUGGGUAGAUUUAGCAGACGAUGGCACGUUUGUCCGCACUGUGUUGUUUGACGUCAUGAUUUUCCUUUGAUUUUGUUUAGCGACACACUGUCUCUAUGUGAUAUUGUUCGUGCCAUGAGCUGUUGGACGCUACAGUACAUUACGUUGUGGGAAAUGAAAUAAAUAUAAGUGAGCUUUCAA
rnacentral:lncRNA from 1 species